ensembl:lncRNA
CGGAAGCCAGCUGGACAGUGAGGGAAAGCCAGAUGUCACAGCACCGGACUGAACAGUUAAAGGAGCUGUAGAUGUACUGGCAACAGGUGCUUACUUCGGCUUGGGUGAACUCACAAACUGCAACUUAACAUUCAGGUUCUGGUGAAAAUUUUCCUCCAGCUCACAGCAGAUUUCACAGCAGAACUAAGACUACCAUCACCAAUUGCAGCUGGACAUGACAGAUUAGGACUCCAUGUGCGGGAUGAGAGACUCACUGGAAAGGCAACCGAAUGGCAACAAGGACCGCCACACCAGCAACCAGGCCAGCAUGACCUGUAGGUCAGGAAACACAAGAUGGGACCAGUCUGUGGAUGGGAAAGACUUCUGAAUUUAUGUCACAGUCCUAUAUCUGUAACAGCACAAUGGGGAACAGCUUGAACAAGCUGACAUGAAAAAGUCUACUAACAGAUGGGUGAAACAAUAGAACUUUAACGACAUGUGAUGCAUAGUCUCCUGACUUCUUCUGUGAUUUCACAAGAUGCCACUUCUCCAUUUUUCAAAGGGAAUACUCAAAAUGGUUAUAUCAGGAUGAAUCAAGACAAAGCUACGACAUGACUCCUGUAUCCAGUAUGCCACGUUCAUAGACAUGCCUGGUGUUUUGAUCUCCGCUUGUAUCAGUGUCUGAAAUAAAAGGGGGGGAUAUGUUUCAUUUUAGUGUUGCUGAGAGAUUCGACAGACAACCCUCAUUAGACCAGUUCUUUGAGUUUCAGGUCACACAAGAGUCAAAAUGCAUCAACUCUCCAUUGGUGAACAUUUUUUUUAUGCAUACUUUGUCACGUCGCAAGUUUGCAAAUGAAAUUACUCCAAAAAAUAACACUAGGUGACAGUGCAAAUAUAAAAAUGACACCCACUUGGAACAAUGUAUUUUGUGUUACACUUCCUUAAUGAUACUCUUUACAAGGCUAUAGCUCACAUUUGUGUGACACACCAAAAUACUCAUCACUAUGAGCUUCAAAGGACCUACAUCCGCAGUAGUGUCAGUCAAUAGAGCAGUGAAGAUAUGCAUGCACACCACACCUAAAAGAACGGUCACUCUACCUAUUGAUGUUUACAUUACCAAUGCCAUCUUGUCACAUUUUAAUAAAG